GUGGUUAAAUCGAGCGUGUCUUCAUUGACCGCUCAGCCCUUCUCACCAUCCACAUACACCUGUGCACUGUUUAGCCUGAGCCGGUUUUCCGGUCCAGGUUAUCAUUUCAUACAAACUCUAGUCUUAUGAAUGUAAACGUUUUAAUAACAUAAUA
rnacentral:misc_RNA from 1 species